CUUGAGACACCGGUUCCCGUAGGAUCACCGAAGUUAAGCAACGUUGAGCCUGGUCAGCACCUACAUGGGUGAUCGCUUGGAA